rnacentral:rRNA from 1 species
UUGCCCUACAACCACCAGUGAAGCGGCAACAGCUCAAAUUUGAAAUCUGGCCCUCGGGUCCGAGUUGUAAUUUGUAGAGGAUGCUUUUGGCGCGGUGCCUUCCGAGUUCCCUGGAACGGGACGCCUUANAGGGUGAGAGCCCCGUACGGUUGGACACCAAGCCUCUGUAAAGCUCCUUCGACGAGUCGAGUAGCUUGGGAAUGCUGCUCUAAAUGGGAGGUAAAUUUCUUCUAAAGCUAAAUAUUGGCCAGAGACCGAUAGCGCACAAGUAGAGUGAUCGAAAGAUGAAAAGCACUUUGAAAAGAGGGUUAAACAGCACGUGAAAUUGUUGAAAGGGAAGCGUUUGCGACCAGACCUUUUCCUAGCGGAUCAUCCGGUGUUCUCACCGGUGCACUUCGCUAGGUUUAGGCCAGCAUCGGUUUCUGUAGGGGGAUAAAAGCUCUGGGAACGUAGCUCCUCCGGGAGUGUUAUAGCCCUCUGCAUAAUACCCUUACGGGGACCGAGGACCGCGCUUCNGCAAGGAUGCUGGCGUAAUGGUCGUCAACGACCCGU